UAUCAUAUCUUCACAUGCAUCGCC
rnacentral:siRNA from 1 species